rnacentral:lncRNA from 1 species
GCUCUUUUGAGGGAACUUAUUUUCUAGUGGCUCCUUCCUCAUUCCUGCUCCCUCCAGAGCCUCACUGUGGGUGUCUAGAGGUGCUUACCAGGAGAUACUGGGAUUCCAGGUGGAGGCGGGUCACUGACACCGGUAAGAGAUGGUUAACAGUGUUUCCAGAGAAUGUUUUCUAUGCUCCCCCAGAGGUAAAGGCAUAGUGGAAUGGCUGCAUCCUCCACUGAGUAUUCCCUGGGUUAGAAGGAACAAUCUGGAGACUGACUCGGUUUGGGGAUAAUGCUCUUGUCUGAGAGAACCAGAAGCUACACGAUGAACUUGGUAGUUGAACAGCCAGGAAAAUUAGAACAUUUUUCACAACCGGAAGACUAUCCCCAACUAGUUGAUGGUCAGCAAUAUCCUUUCUUAGGUGUUCAUGCUAUCUUCCAAUAUCUCAAAAUCCUCUAAAACCUUUGGUUUUUCUUUUUGAUGGCUAAGGUCACCCUGCCCACACUUCUGAUUCUCUGAAGAAUUUAGUGAACUCAUUCAUGUGUAUAUAUAUAUAUAUAUGAUUCUUUGCAGAAUUUAGUUAACUCAUACAUUAUACACACGUACAUACAUGUCUACAUAUAUUGUGCAUGUUACAUGUAUGUAUGUCUAUAUGUGUGUACAUGUGUAUAUAUAUAAAUAUGUAUGCAUAUACAUAAGUAUAUAUGUAUUAUGCAUAUAUACAUACACACACAUAUAUACACACCUGUAUAUAUAUGUAUGUAUUAUGUAUGGUGGUAUGUCUGGAUACACACACAUUUUAGUCGUGGCAUAUCUGACAGCAAUGUUUUCUGCUCUGACUAAGCCGGUUGGUGGUUGUGGAUGAUUUGGGGAAGCGGGGGUUAGUAGCAGAUAACAAAGAUCAUUUGUGUGUUUGCACACUCUGUCCACUAGGGACCUAUGACAAAGGUGAUCUGGUAGAACAUUGGUGUGGCCAUCUUCAACCUGACAGACACCUAGAAGUCAACCAUCUCAUCUACAUUUCAACACAAAACAAAGUCAAGCCCUUGAGACAUCUUACAGGGCUUUUAAUGGCUGCCGGAAAACUCGAGCAUGUUCAUCUUAACCUAAUUGUGGAAAAUACAAAAAUAAUAGUUCAUACAAGACGCCAUUCAUUAACAGAUGCUUAUUAAGUACCUAUUCCGUGAUAAGUACUGUUAUACUUACUUGGGGACAUAUCUGUAAUAGUUUUGGUUUUCUGGGGCUUGCACACUAUAUGGAGGUGGGAAAGGCACUGAACAAUACAUAAAGUAAAUAAUACCUCAAACGUAAAGGAUUGCAAGUACUGUGGAAAGAGAGGCGCACAAGCAAGGGGAGUGGAGUUGUGUCCAAAAGGGGUAGACGUUAGGACGUGUUAUGGACUUGAUCUGAAAGUGUCUCCCCAAAGGCUUCCAUGUUGAGGACCUGGUCCAGCUGUCAGUGCUACUGAGAUUGAUCAAUGCAGCUGCUGACUUGACUAAGGCAUUGGCGCAUGAAUGCGUUUACAACUGAAUGGAAUAUUAAGAGGUAGGGCGAAGCUGAACCGCAGGAAAAUGGUCAAUGGCGGUGUGCUUUCGGUGUGUGUGGUGUCCCUUUACCUGGCCCCUGGCCCCAAUCGUGAGGUGAGGUGAUCAGAUCUACCAGAGCUUUCUGCCACGGUGCUCUGCCUUCGUACAGACCUACAGUAGUGGAUCCAACACCCUGAAACUGGAUGCUCUAAAGAGAUAAGCUAAAAUAAGCCUUUCUUCUUAUGUUGUUGUUUUUUCUCACAGUGAUAGGAAACUGUCUAAUACAGGAAGGUGGCCAUGGGCAUUCAAGAUGGGCCAAGCUGAGAUGGUGGUGUCUCAGCAAAGACUUGAAGAGCCUGUGGAGUUAGCCAAGCAGAUUCUGGGAAAACAAUUUUCAAGAGAAAGGACACAGCAAGUGUGAAGCUACUUGGGUCUUGCUUGAGGAUAAAGAAGGGUGAAGAUGUGAGUGGAGUUGGUGUAGAGGGAGCAUUGAGGGUUCAGUGGAAGUCCAUGGGAAGAAGAUCAAGAGGACUUGGAGCUGCUGCAGAGUUUUGCAUAAAGAUGUGACAGUUCUGCAUGGCACUUCUAUUUCCAAACCUGGCUAUAUUCUGAACAACCACCACUGAGGAAUUGGACAUUUGGAUUCAGUCCAGGACAGCUGGAGUAACCCUGUCUUUGAGGACAGAGGCUGACACCUUGAGAGGACCAAGGCCUCUCCCCAAGCUUGCUGGGCAAUAUUGUCAGGAAACCUGAACACGUGGUCCACCGUUCUUGUCGUCCCAGACUCUAUCUGUUUUGGUGGAUGGUGUUCAGUCCAGGCAGAGGAAGUGCUACAGGGAUGGCCUGCCUGCAAGAACCAAUUAAGGCUGCCCUUCACUCUGAAGACAAUCUUACUUCCCAGACUGGAGACCUGUGGGUAAGGGACAGGAUUAUCUAUUUUAAUGUUGCUGACCUCAUUUUCUGAAAACUAAGUUCAACCGGAACUUCAACGUGUUUAAACAAAUAAAAGUGACAGGCAGGUUUUCCUGGAAGUUUCCCCCAUCCUUAUGUCAUGGACGUUAUUAUUUUUUUUUCUACAUGGAAACAUCUUGAAACUGGAAAGACAUGGGAUAUUAUUAUGUGAGACCCAUUCAUCGGGGUUGGGUUCAAGUCCUUUAUUCCAGAUGUGGGAGAAUCUGGACUUGGCGAGCACGCAGUUUCCUUUGGAUCACACAGAACAUUUGAGGCUGUGUUGGGCGAAGCAACCCCUGACUCUGUACUCAUUACACAGUAUUCUUUCCAUGAGACCAAUGCUAUGGAUUUGAGGAUCACCUGUCAAUAUCCAACAGCCCCCCCCAUCUAAACUAUGAGCCCACCAAAGGUGACACGCUGAGGACCCCCACAGAGAGACAUGCCUGACUCAUCCCGCCCCCCAUUUCACAAGUGAAGCCUGUGAUUAGAAAAAUAAUAAAAGCCCAU